UGAAAUAUCAAAGAUUCCAAAUGGGUGACGUUUGGAGGACCAUGAAAUAUUCUGAAGGAGGAGGCAAAAGUGUGCAGAAUUCUGACUUGCUGCAAUGAAAAUGGAGCUCAGAGCUGCAUCUUAGGCCUCAACCGAGCAGAGCUUGAAAAACACAUAUAUUUAAAAAGUCCUUGGAGAUAAACAGCGUCAAAGACCUCUAGAAGAAUGACUUCAGUCAAAGAAAACUCAUCAGUGGGCCAGUUCCAGCUGCUGUGUCAUUGGUUUUCAGUCUUAGGUCAAAAGCAGUGCCUGCAUCAUGAAGAUGGGGAAACUGAGGCCCAGAAAUGAGAAGAGAAUUGUUGAGGUAAAAAUCAAUCCAUUUUAGACUAAGCUGGAGUCACACUCAUUAGUAUGCCUUAUAGUUUC
rnacentral:lncRNA from 1 species